rnacentral:rRNA from 1 species
UACAGAGGGGGCAAGCGUUGUUCGGAAUUACUGGGCGUAAAGGGCGCGUAGGCGGCCUUCUAAGUCGAACGUGAAAUCCCCGGGCUCAACCCGGGAACUGCGUCCGAUACUGGAAGGCUUGAAUCCGGGAGAGGGAUGUGGAAUUCCAGGUGUAGCGGUGAAAUGCGUAGAUAUCUGGAGGAACACCGGUGGCGAAGGCGACAUCCUGGACCAACACUGACACUGAGGAGCGAAAGCCAGGGGAGCAAACGGG